GCGACCCCAGGUCAGACGGGACUACCCGCUGAGUUUAAGCAUAUCAAUAAGCGGAGGAAAAG
rnacentral:rRNA from 3 species